rnacentral:rRNA from 1 species
AGAGAUGCACUGGGCGUAAAGCGUGCGCAGGCGGUUUUGUAAGACAGAGGUGAAAUCCCCGGGCUCAACCUGGGAACUGCCUUUGUGACUGCAAGGCUGGAGGGCGGCAGAGGGGGAUGGAAUUCCGCGUGUAGCAGUGAAAUGCGUAGAUAUGCGGAGGAACACCGAUGGCGAAGGCAAUCCCCUGGGCCUGCACUGACGCUCAUGCACGAAAGCGUGGGGAGCAAACA